rnacentral:rRNA from 1 species
AUUGAACGCUGGCGGCAUGCCUUACACAUGCAAGUCGAACGGCAGCACGGGUGCUUGCACCUGGUGGCGAGUGGCGAACGGGUGAGUAAUAUAUCGGAACGUACCUUAUUGUGGGGGAUAACGCAGCGAAAGCUGUGCUAAUACCGCAUAAUCCCUAAGGGGGAAAGCGGGGGACCGUAAGGCCUCGCGCAAUUAGAGCGGCCGAUACCUGAUUAGCUAGUUGGUGAGGUAAAGGCUCACCAAGGCAACGAUCAGUAGCUGGUCUGAGAGGACGAUCAGCCACGCUGGGACUGAGACACGGCCCAGACUCCGACGGGAGGCAGCAGUGGGGAAUUUUGGACAAUGGGGGCAACCCUGAUCCAGCAAUGCCGCGUGAGUGAAGAAGGCCUUCGGGUUGUAAAGCUCUUUUGUCAGGGAAGAAACAGCAGCUCUAGCACAGUUUGCGAAUGACGGUACCUGAAGAAUAAGCACCGGCUAACUACGUGCCAGCCGCCGCCGUAA